rnacentral:rRNA from 1 species
AACGGGUGAGUAACACGUAUCUAAUCUACCUUUUAGUGGGGGAUAACCUUUGGAAACGAAGGAUAAUACCGCAUAAGAUCUUCAUUAUGACAUCAGAAGAAGAGGAAAGAUCCGUUUGGAUCGCUAAAAGAUGAGGAUGCGGCGUAUUAGUUAGUAGGCGGGGUAAAGGCCCACCUAGACGAUGAUACGUAGCCGAACUGAGAGGUUGAUCGGCCACAUUGGGACUGAGAUACGGCCCAGACUCCUACGGGAGGCAGCAGUAGGGAAUUUUUCACAAUGGACGAAAGUCUGAUGAAGCAAUGCCGCGUGAGUGAUGAAGGUCUUCGGAUUGUAAAGCUCUGUUGUAAGGGAAGAAUAAGCCAGGAAGGAAAUGUCUUGGUGAUGACGGCACCUUA